CGUCGGCCAUGUUGGAUGUCUUAAGCCUAGUUUAUUAAACGAAGGAAUGAUAAAAAACAGCAGAUCCUGAGACUACAGAACAGAAAACUGAUUGUAUCUGCCGAAAGGAAGAAGAACGCUUAAUAGCUCAGUGUGAUGGCUACUACCAGUGGUUUCACGGAGUAUUCGUUGAUGUAAAUCAGGAGAAAGCAGAUGCAAUGGAACAAUACAUUUGUGGGCACCCAUCCAGCAUAUGCGAACGUUACUGCUUAGUUAAUUCAAGAGGAUUGCUUGCAAACAGAGAGCAAUGAAUACAUAAACAGUAGAAUGACCUCACUGUGCAACUCCAUGCUGUAUAGUAAUUUAAUUAGAUUUCAGGCUGUGUUUUGCUAUUUCAGUAAUACUAUUGGUAAAUUAUUCUGACUGCACACCGUAAUUGCAGUCGCAUGUGCAAUAAGAUAUGCGUACCACAUAACAG